rnacentral:rRNA from 1 species
UACAGAGGUGGCAAGCGUUGUUCGGAAUUACUGGGCGUAAAGGGCGCGUAGGCGGCCUUCUAAGUCAGACGUGAAAUCCCCCGGCUUAACCUGGGAACUGCGUCUGAUACUGGAGGGCUUGAGUAUGGGAGAGGGAUGUAGAAUUCCAGGUGUAGCGGUGAAAUGCGUAGAUAUCUGGAGGAAUACCGGUGGCGAAGGCGGCAUCCUGGACCAUUACUGACGCUGAGGCGCGAAAAGCUAGGGGAGCAAACGGG